AGACGGAGAGGGCAGAAAAACAGAAGAAAGUUCCAUUUUGUUAACAGUUGUACUACAGGUUCAGCACAAUUGGAUGUCACUGUACCUCCACAGCUGCAUGUAGCACAGCCAUCUGUCCAGCAGGUGGUGCUGCAGUUAGCUUCAUGAGCUCAUCGGCAGCCGGACACAAAGCAUCCAGCUACAGAAUGAGAACAGCAGCAGAGAUCCAAGAUCAAACAGGACUGAUGUGUUUAGGUGAUGUAGGUCAUCUGGGUACCUUCUCAUGGCUUGCGUCCCAGCAUGCACUGCAGCAGCCCAGGCGGCGCCGUUGGUCUUCUCCUCGGUCACAUGACCAGCUGCGGCGUAAUAAAUCAGCUUGCCGUACCGCUCCUGAGGAUCCGCCCAUUUUCUCCUCCACCAAUCCAGCGAGGACGGAAAGCAGUUGCCCUGGGCAACCAGGAACCACAUGAUCCUGGAGCCACUCCUGAACGGCUGCAGGAGCAACAUUUUAAUGGUCUACAACCUCAAACCUUCCCCCACGUUUUACCAAACUCUCAACCCUCCUGUCAUCGGCUCUUACCCAGUCCCAGCUCCAUGGCUC